rnacentral:rRNA from 1 species
UGCGUAGUCUGACGGAGCACGCCGCGUGAGUGAUGAAGGCUUUCGGGUCGUAAAACUCUGUUGUUAGGGAAGAACAAGUACGAGAGUAACUGCUCGUACCUUGACGGUACCUAACCAGAAAGCCACGGCUAACUACGUGCCAGCAGCCGCGGUAAUACGUAGGUGGCAAGCGUUAUCCGGAAUUAUUGGGCGUAAAGCGCGCGCAGGCGGUUUCUUAAGUCUGAUGUGAAAGCCCACGGCUCAACCGUGGAGGGUCAUUGGAAACUGGGGAACUUGAGUGCAGAAGAGAAAAGCGGAAUUCCACGUGUAGCGGUGAAAUGCGUAGAGAUGUGGAGGAACACCAGUGGCGAAGGCGGCUUUUUGGUCUGUAACUGACGCUGAGGCGCGAAAGCGUGGGGAGCAAACAGGAUUAGUAACCCCUGGUAA